GUAAUGAACCGUUGAUCUGUACCAUAAGUCAUCCUUGCAGGGUUGUCGGAACUAUAUGCGCAGUCGCACUAAGGACAGAUGUGCUCAGAGGCACGCCCCGUAACAUGUAUGGAGCGGUCUGUCGCGGCAGGAAUAAGUUGUACAAAGUCCAUCUAGACAUGUGUGUCAUGCAAGCUAGCAGCACCCCAUGAGAAACGGGCCGAAGUGUUUAAGUGUUUACCGGAGUUUGCACCCUUGGCAAGCGGACUGAGGUAUGUGAUGAGAGGUGAUCUGUUGUUAUAUUUUAUUUAACCGAGCUGUGUAACCCCUUGAUGCUGUUUGAAGUAACCCCUUUUGUUUUAUUUAAUCUGUGACUGUAUAUCUCAGAAUUACUUGUUUGAACUUACCUGAAUUGACUUAAGCUCAUUGUUGUUAUAGUUCAAAAGGACUGUACGGUUAUCAAUUUUUUCUUAUUUUAUAGUUUUCACGGUGCUCAAUGUCCAGAGAAUGAGCCGUAUGUGGUGAGGAAAUAAAUGGCUGCACCCGUUAGAGACUCUUCUGUCGUUCUUGAUGCCAAGGGCUGCUACAGUCAUAUUGUGCUUUUGGAAUAUGAUGAUACUCGCCACCUAAUUAAUAAUUAAAAAUUG